UCACUACAUUGCACAGGCUGGUCUCAAACUCCUGGCUCAAAUGAUCAUCCUGCUCCAGCUUCUAAAAAUGUUGGUAUUACAGGUAUGAACCACUAUACCUAGCAGAAUUUUUAAGAAAAUGAUUUCUUAAAUCUUUAAGACAGAACAUAAUCUCUGCACCUCUGUGGCAAGCACCCAACAACUGGAAGCUGUAUCCUGUGUAAGACCAUUUGCUGGGUGAUAGUGAAAUCUGAAUACUGUUCACUUUACUUAAACACUGGUAUUCUCCCUUUGUGGGAAGCUGAAUCAAAGUACUAGUCCUUUUAUUAAGAGAGUUUUGGUUUUUUUUUUGUUUU
rnacentral:lncRNA from 10 species